UGGGGAAUAUUGCACAAUGGACGGAAGUCUGAUGCAGCAACGCCGCGUGCGGGAUGACGGCCUUCGGGUUGUAAACCGCUUUUUCUCAUGACGAAGUUUUUUGACGGUAGUGGGGGAAGAAGCACCGGCUAACUACGUGCCAGCAGCCGCGGUGAUACGUAGGGUGCGAGCGUUGUCCGGAAUUAUUGGGCGUAAAGAGCUUGUAGGCGGUUUGUCGCGUCGAUAGUGCAAACUCAGUGCUUAACGCUGAGCCUGCUGUUGAUACGGGCAGACUAGAGGAAGGUAGGGGAGAAUGGAAUUCCCGGUGGAGCGGUGGAAUGCGCAGAUAUCGGGAGGAACACCGGUGGCGAAGGCGGUUCUCUGGGCCUUUCCUGACGCUGAGAAGCGAAAGCGUGGGAAGCGAACAGG
rnacentral:rRNA from 1 species